rnacentral:rRNA from 1 species
AGAGUUUGAUCAUGGCUCAGAUUGAACGCUGGCGGCAUGCCUUACACAUGCAAGUCGAACGGCAGCAUGAUCUAGCUUGCUAGAUUGAUGGCGAGUGGCGAACGGGUGAGUAAUACAUCGGAACGUGCCCUGUAGUGGGGGAUAACUAGUCGAAAGAUUAGCUAAUACCGCAUACGACCUGAGGGUGAAAGUGGGGGACCGCAAGGCCUCAUGCUAUAGGAGCGGCCGAUGUCUGAUUAGCUAGUUGGUGAGGUAAAGGCUCACCAAGGCGACGAUCAGUAGCUGGUCUGAGAGGACGAUCAGCCACACUGGGACUGAGACACGGCCCAGACUCCUACGGGAGGCAGCAGUGGGGAAUUUUGGACAAUGGGCGAAAGCCUGAUCCAGCAAUGGCCGCGUGUGUGAAGAAGGCCUUCGGGUUGUAAAGCACUUUUGUCCGGAAAGAAAUGGCUCUGGUUAAUACCUGGGGUCGAUAACGGUACCGGAAGAAUAAGGACCGGCUAACUACGUGCCAGCAGCCGCGGUAAUACGUAGGGUCCAAGCGUUAAUCGGAAUUACUGGGCGUAAAGCGUGCGCAGGCGGUUGUGCAAGACCGAUGUGAAAUCCCCGAGCUUAACUUGGGAAUUGCAUUGGUGACUGCACGGCUAGAGUGUGUCAGAGGGGGGUAGAAUUCCACGUGUAGCAGUGAAAUGCGUAGAGAUGUGGAGGAAUACCGAUGGCGAAGGCAGCCCCCUGGGAUAACACUGACGCUCAUGCACGAAAGC